rnacentral:rRNA from 1 species
UACGAAGGGUGCGAGCGUUAAUCGGAAUUACUGGGCGUAAAGGGUGCGUAGGCGGUUCGUUAAGUCUGUCGUGAAAUCCCCGGGCUCAACCUGGGAAUGGCGAUGGAUACUGGCGAGCUAGAGUGUGUCAGAGGAUGGUGGAAUUCCCGGUGUAGCGGUGAAAUGCGUAGAGAUCAGGCGGAACACCCGUGGCGAAGGCGGCCAGCUGGGCCGUCCCUGACGCUGAGGCGCGAAGGCGUGGGGAGCGAACGGG